ACCGGAUGGCUCCAAGGACUCUCGCUCUGCUCAAUGACCCCAAGAUUAAGCAUCCUAUCAAGCUCUGCGUACAUCAACUUCUGCACAGCUGGUGAGACCGGAUAAUGCUUGUCCUUAACUGGAAUCGCAUCGCGAGUGUCGAUUGUAUGGGAUUCGAGGGAAGUCUGACCAAGUCCCUUCUUCGUAAAACAUGGAAAUUUCGCUACUAAAAUAUCUAAUGACGCCUUCUGACUCGGAACGUAUAAAUCUUAACAAAGAAAAGGUUAAAACUCAAAAUGGAAAAGAAGAUUCAAAACUUAAUCUUGUGAACGGCGAUGUUUUUUGGGUAAGUAAUGUUUGCAGGUAAAGUGUAUAGAAAUUGUUCGAAGAUAUGUACUAAUUGUUUUUCUAUUGGUUUCAGGAAGUGGAAAAAGUAAAUGGAUAAAUAAAAAAAAAGGUAGUAUUUGUUCUACCGCAGCUCAAAUUUCAAGGGGCAUCUAGAAGAUUGGUGUUGAAAACCCAGUACGCCUAGGACUACCCUAUCUAUUUUACCGCAGACAAAACCGUUACUGCUUUCCCGCUCUAUUCCCUGGCGGCCAACUAAUUUUGCGGAAGAAUCUCCCGGGUGAGGAUAGGGUAGAUGGAUAUUUCCUGUCAGUGACGUGUCUAAAUGUCUAAGUGGUUCGAGGAGAAUUACCUAUAUAAGAUUUAGGAAAAUCUUGGGUUAAUUAACCUCGCGACUCACUGUUCCCUAGGCCAGAGCUCUAACCUAACUCGCGCACGCGUGGUUAAGGUUCACACGCGGGAUGGACUUUGCGAUACUUAAGA